rnacentral:lncRNA from 1 species
GGUGCAACACGAAUCACUUGGUGUCUCGUCAGUUUUUGGCAUCCUAGUGCAAAUUAGGAUUCUUUGGUAGUUUGGUUCACACUCUCUAAUUGGUUGAUAUAAACUCUGAUAAAGAACUCACAAGAUUGAAUUCGACCUCAUUGAGAAUUUGAUUUUUCUUUUUGAGUGAUUAAUGGUGAGGUUUGCUAACUUUUAUUUUUGAGUGUUGAGUGUUUAUUUUUUACAGGUUUUGAAGAUGUCUAAAGGUGAUAAUAAUGAUGCACUUAUGAAAGUCCAACAACAGUUAGACGGACAUACUGCUGCAAUCACACAAAUAAAUGCUACACUUCAAGCAUUGAUUACUACUUUGAAUGAGGUACGAGUGAAUCAAAAACAUCAAUAUCGAGAUCUAAUUAAGGAAGAUAAGGAUAACCAGCCCUAUAGGUGCAGCCCUCAACGUGUCCCUAGAAUGGAUGAUGAUUUUCAUGAUCGUGGACAAUCAUCUUUGGCAAAACCAAAGAGCGAGCAGCAACGAGAACAUCUCUUUCAUACUCGCUGCCAUGUACAAGGUAAGCUUUGUAGAGUUAUUAUUGAUGGUGAAAGUUGCUCGAACAUAGCCAGCACGACGAUGGUGGAAAAGCUUUGCUUAACCACUACCAAGCAUCCACAACCUUAUCAACUACAAGGGCUUAGCAACAAAGGCCAAUUUAGGGUCACUCAACAAGUGCGCAUCGCCUUUUCUAUCGGUAAGUAUCAAGACGAAGUUGUAUGCGACGUAAUGCCUAUUCAAGCCUGCCAUUUGUUGCUAGGAGAACCAUGGAAACUGGAUCGAAAAGUCACUCAUGAUGGUCGUACCAAUAGGUAUUCUUUCAAGCAUCAAGGAAAGAAACUCACCUUAGUGCCGCUCACUCUGGAACAAGUCCAUGAGGACCAAAUCAAACUGAAAAAUUCUGUUAAAACAAGUGAGGAAAAAGAAAAAGAGAAUGAAAAAGAGCAAAAAGAGAUUGAGAGUGAAAAAGAAAUUGAAGAAAGAAGAGAAAAUGAAUUAGAAAAAGAAACAAAAGAAAAAGAUGUGGAAAGGGUAGUGAGGAAUUGAUGCAACCUUAGCCCGGGAAAUUACUACCGAAUCCAUUGAGCUGCCACGAGGACCAAUAACUCGAUCACGAGCUAAGAGAUUUCGAAAUGCAAUAGCAAGCUAUGUGGAACGAGCUUGGGAAGAGGGAGUGGCCGGAUUUGAUAGUCGUGCUUCAAACUGUUCAAAAGGCGUUACUUGCAAUUUAUUGCAAGCUGAAUUUGUUUCUUUUAAUUAACUUGUUUUAGUUUAAUCAAUAAGUUGCUGAUCAAUUAAUUUAACUUAUCUUAAAGUUUUAAUACAUGAGUUAGUUAUUGAACUUUAUUAAAUAAGAUGCUUCUUAAUUGAUCUAGUUCCUAGGAUUAUUUAUUGAUGCAUAAAUUAAGUUCUUUAAAUUAUGCUUCUUUAAUUAAACUAGUUGCUGGAAUAAUUAUUGCAUAUAUGUUUUAGUUCAUUUAUUUAAGUAAGUUUAAUAUGUGUUAUGAUUAAUAAGUGUUUUAAUGUGUUUAAUAAACUCAUUUUAAUGUGUUUAUUGCAGGUGACUUUUUAGCUUAUAGUGGUUACAAUUCAAGGCUGUUACACAUUUAAUAAGUGGCUGUUCAAGUUCUUUUGAGUUACAAUUAAAGGGGCUGUUAAAAAAAGGAGCUUAAAGAUCAUUAAAAGGAGUUUUUAAAGAGCAUUUUAUGCCCUUUAAAAUUCAGCAGCAACUCUUCCACUUCCAGCCGUUUUUGGAGCUUUUAAGAGAAAUUAAUCAAGCCUUUGAAUGUCAUUAAAGAGCUGGUAAGAGAUGGUGUCUAUUCAACUAGCCAAGGACAACUCAAGAGUCAUUUUCUAAGCCAUUAAAGACAUUCAAAUCAGCUGAAUUAAAGUGAUUUUAUGGAAGGAGUUAUUUGGUUCAAAGAAUAAGAAAAGACAUCAGUUUUUUAUGGCACAUUAAGUGGAUGUUUUUGACCAUUCGAUUACCUUGUUCUAGCAUUAUAAAUAGAUGUAAUCAGCCAUAGAGGGAACAACUUUUUGCUGAAUAUAGAUGAAAUAUUUGAAUUGUGAGCUAUCCAAUUCUCUUUGUUCUUUCGGAAUUGAUUUGACUUAUCAAGCAUAGCUUAUGGCGUCCAUCUUUUCUUUGUUGUUGAACUUAUCACCUUUGGUGUGGCGUUCAAUAUUGAUACGAGCUCGAUUCGGAUGAUGUGAUGAGUCGUAUUAUGUUCCCGAUCGAAUUUAGGUAGUGUCGAUUUAGUUCAAAAUUCAAUAAGAUGAGUUAUAUUGGUUUUAAAUGAAUUAGGAAGCAAAAUGGGGAUAAUGGUUUCCAAUGAAACAAGAACGAACCCUUAUUAACAAAUAAGGACCCGGGCUUAAAGGUUUCAAAGAAAAGGAAAGAAAUGGUAGAUAAAACCGAGACCCUCUAUUUAGCAAAAUAGGAACCUUCGGUAUAGUUGGAACGCCACACCUUAUGGUGAUAAGUUCAAAACAAAGUCAGAUUGACGCCACUCGUAAAGAUAAGUCAAUUGAGCUUUGAAGAAUAAAGAGAGUGAAUUGCCUCACUAAAAUGAUAUUUCGUUCAGAGAUUUGUCAAAAGUCCUUUUACAAGAAAUUUAACAACUAUUUAUAGCCUUUCUACUAGUAGCCGAAUGGACAAAUUCAAGACUUAGUUUCUAAGUAAACAAUGAACUAAAAUUCAGCAUGAAUGCAAAAUUAUUAGCCCAUGUAGAUUCGGCUGAAUGAGAGUUCCAAUAGUCAUCUUCUAGAUGGGAAAAUGCACCUUGAACAUCUUGGAUGUGCAUGAAUAGGCUAGGUUUGGUCAAUGAACAUAAUGGGGUCAUUCAUGAAGCAACUAUUGCUGAAAAAUUACCAGCAUUAAUUGGCAAUUUGAACAGCCAUUUAGAAGUGUGAACGGAUGGUUUUGAAGGGCCAUGAGGUGUGAACAUGGCUGAACCGAACAGCCAUAGUGUGAACAGCCUUUAUACUUCCUUGAGAAGAGAAUCGGCCAACCUUGAAAAGAUGAAAAGCUUGGUCACUUUGGCUGAAUAGUUGCCUUGAAAAAAAACUCCAAAGAUUAAUCAGCUUUAAUGCAUUAAAUCAGCUGCACAUGCAUCUUCAAAUUCAUUGAAUCUCCAUGCAAGAAUCUACCCAAUUCAUCUUCAAAUUCGGCUGCACCUAAAAACACACAUGAACUUAAUUAAUUUCAAGCAAAUUCAGCUGAACUAAAUUAAAGUAUAAUGUGAACAUCCUAAAUAACAUUGAGACAACUUAAAUAUUAACAAAUCAUAACACAUAAAUUCGGCUGGACAAAUUUAAAACAUGUAAUAAUUUAGACAAACUAAAUGACAUCAAGACAUCUUUAAUUUAACUAAAUCAAGACAUAUUAAACACUUAAAUUAAUUAAGACAUAUUUAAAAGCUAUAAUGAAACUUAUUUAAAUGUUUAUUUAAAUGGUCUAAAUUCCAGCAUCAAAUUAAUUAGCUAGAACGAAAUUCAGCUUCAAAGAAGUUGAAUAUGUUUAGCUCAUUUUUAAACUCCUUGCUAUCAUUUUCCUCAACCCGUUCCACCAUUGUUAAAAUAGCAUCUUUGAAUCGUUUAGCUCUAGCUUGCGUUAUUGGACCAAUGGGCAGCUUGAUGGCUUCUUGUUCGUUCUCCAUUUGGUUCGUAGGCAAGCUCACAUCAAAUAUACCUUUGGUUCCUAUCAUAGUUGAUAGUGGGUCAAGGUUCCUUUCCUGUUUCCUUUAACCGAAAACACCUAAAGACCAUUUUGAGAUUUGGGUCAACAAUUCGUUAUUGUUGGUUCAUUUUCGGUCUUAGCCAAUUAAUUUGUUAUUGUUUCCUCUUUAUUUUGUUUAUUACCUUUGUUUGAAGCCAUUAUCUCUAUUUUGUUUCAUUUUAAAACCGAAACGAAUCCAUCCUUACUCAAUUCACGAUUGGGCAACACAUACGACUCAAAACAUCACGAGACGAGUUCGUAUCAGGAAUGUUUCCACUAACCAAGAUAUGAAUUUUUCUUGUGUUGGUAAUUUUCAGGUUCCCGAAAGAUCGAAAGAUAACUUUCAACUUCAAUACCUCUCAAAUGAAAGACGCUUUCAUACGAUCAACUUAGGCAAAGAUGAAAUCACACUACAUGAUCCCGAAGGUAAGCGAGGUAAGGAAAUUUUAGAAACCGAGUCCAGUGCAGAUUUGAAAAUUAUUGAUAAAACUUUUGGUGACUUAGUUCUUAAAAGAUCCCCUCAUUUUGAUCCGAUUAAUUUUUACUCUUCGAUUGUGGUUGAUAAAGUCAUUACGAAAAGAAGCGUGAUUUGUUAUUCUCUUGAUUUACCUUGUGUAAAAUCCUUGAAUUUGUCCAAAUCUGUUUUGGAGAAUAAGGUAAUGAAAUUUUCCAAAUUUGUUUUCAAUUUAUAUUCGAGCCUUAAACAGUUUAUGUGGUUGUACAUGAAGUUUGAGUUCCAUUUGACAAAGGUUAACUCAACAACGGAGAUUCGACUACACUACGCCCCCGAUGAGUGAAGGUUUGUUUUAAAUGAAAAAGGUAAAAUCGACCCUUAUUCUUUUGCUUAUCAAGGUAAGAUGCUUGAAACCUUUGAAACACUUUUGUACUCCUCGGAUAGCAACAAAGAUCGUGUUGAUGAACACUUAGAUCGAAACGUGCUUGACUGUCCUAUUUUAUUUAUUGAUGAUAAAUCUAUUUUGAUGGUUGAUAAAAAGAUUCUUGUUUUUGAUAAUGCAUGUGUGAGUGAAUCUAUAAACCGUCGAUUAAUGCAUGGUAAUCUGAAUAUGUCCAUUCACAUGCGUUAUACCUAUUCUAUUAUGCUUAUAAUUGGACUACAAGCUUGUUUGCGUUGCUAUUUACUAUUUCAUGGCUAUUCUUUUCAGUGGACUCAAUUGCCAUUAGUCCCGUUUGAUCGAGGAAAGUCGAGUUCAUUUGAUUUUUUAGAUUCGAGGAUGAAUCUUUUUGAGGAAGGGCGGAAUGAUACAAGUCACAAAGGCCCAACCCAAGCUUAAGAAGGUGAUGGGCUCAAAUCAAGAAAAUCAAGAUUCACUUUCUUGUUUUCAAGAAAAUCAAGAAAUCGAAUCUUGGCCCAAUUUUGCUGUUCGGAGCGAUUUCAAGAAUCAAGAAAAUCAAGAUUUCAAAUCUUGGAAAUCUUGGUCCAAGAAACCGAAUCUUGUAGCCAAAGCGCGUUGGAUCUCCAUUACGAGCGUCAACGACCCAAUUUCGGUAGGAGAUGGAUCACAAGCCCAAAUUCUUAAAGGCGAGGCCCAAUAAGAAACUUCCCAGCCCAAUCAAGAAAUCCAUACAUAUUUAGUUGAAAAUCAGGCCAAAAUGUCAAAGGGCCCAAUUUGUAAACAUUUUAGUUGUUUAAGUUAAUUUUUUAAGUUUUAGGAAUAUCACAUGUUAAAUUAGGCCCAAAACAGUCCAAUAGGAUGCAUGGCCGAAUUUUCCUUUGUUUUUUUAAUUAAGUUUAAAUUUUUUAAGUUUUCUAAUUAGAUUAGGAUUUGUUGGAGGCCUAUAUAAGCAUUGGCCAGCCACCCUUUGUAAACAUCUUAUUAUUAUUUUUUCUAUCAAAUUUUAGAUUUGUUGAGUGCAGAAUUUUCUUUGGGGUUUUCUCCAAGAAUUCUCUCUUGAGUUUUCUUUAGAAGUUGUUUUAACAAUCUUUUGAUUGUGGGAGCCAUCUUCAACCUUCUUCUUGCCAUCGAUAUUCUUUGGAGGGGAGAUUAGAGCCGUUUGAAGAGAUUUGUGAAAUCUUUCGGGAUUUCAAGGAUCUUUAGGACUUCAAUUUACUUUCUUGCUGUUCAUUCUUUUCUUUUAAAUUCUGUUUAUGCCGAUUCUUUUGAUCUAACUUGUUUAUUCUUCUUGUGAAUUUCCAGCCAUCUUUAUUACUCAAAAAGAUCGAUCGGUACUCAUUCUUGGUAGCCAAAUUCGACUAAACUUAUCUUUUCCAAUUAAUCUUGUCAAAUUCUUCUUGUCAAAACUGACUAUUUUAGGUUGCUGGAAUUUUGGGAAAAAUCAAGUUGCUGGAAUUUGGGGCUUUAUUCAUCGGUUUAGUUCUUGGACAGAUUCAGCUUGUUGAAAAUCAAUCUUGGAGAUCGAUUUCGUGUUUUUGCAUUCCGAAAACAUCUAUUCAUAAGAUCUUUGAUUCUUGGCUGUUCUUGAUUGUUUUGGGGAUCUUAAUUUCCAGAUCUGAUUUGUUUUUAAUCUUAUUCUUUGUUUUAAUUUUUAGAUCUGUUCAAUUAGAGCUUUUGUAGGAGUUUCUCGUGACUUGGCAACUCGAUCUUGGUCCGCGCGCGCCUCCGUACCAGUAAACAUCUUACUUGUUUAAUUUAAUUUUUUAAUCUUUAGGAGCAUUACAUGUAAAAUUCGGCCCAAAAUAGCCCAUAUAAGUGCAUGGCCGAAUUUACCUUGUUAUUUUAUUAAAUAGGUUUAAUUUUUUAUUAGUUACUUGUGAGAUUAGGAUUUGUUGGAGGCCUAUAUAAGCAUUGGCCAGCCACCCUUUGUAAACACAUCUUAUUAUUAUUUUUCUAUCAAAUUUUAGAUUUGUUGAGUGUAGAAUUUUCUUUCGGGUUUUCUCCAAGAAUUCUCUCUUGAGUUUUCUUUAGAAGUUGUUUUAACAAUCUUUGGAUUGUGGGAACCAUCUUCAACCUUCUUCUUGCCAUCGAUAUUCGUUGGAGGGGAGAUUAGAGCCGUUUGAAGAGAUUUGUGAAAUCUUUCGGGAUUUCAAGGAUCUUUAGGACUUCAAUUUACUUUCUUGCUGUUCAUUCUUUUCUUUUAAAUUCUGUUUAUGCCGAUUCUUUUGAUCUAACUUGUUUAUUCUUCUUGUGAAUUUCCAGCCAUCUUUAUUACUCAAAAAGAUCGAUCGGUACUCAUUCUUGGUAGCCAAAUUCGACUAAACUUAUCUUUUCCAAUUAAUCUUGUCGAAUUCUUCUUGUCAAAACUGACUGUUUUAGGUUGCUGGAAUUUUGGGAAAAAUCAAGUUGCUGGAAUUUGGGGCUUUAUUCAUCGGUUUAGUUCUUGGACAGAUUCGGCUUGUUGAAAAUCAAUCUUGGAGAUCGAUUUCGUGUUUUUGCAUUCCGAAAACAUCUAUUCAUAAGAUCUUUGAUUCUUGGCUGUUCUUGAUUGUUUUGGGGAUCUUAAUUUCCAGAUCUGAUUUUUUUUUAAUCUUAUUCUUUGUUUUAAUUUUUAGAUCUGUUCAAUUAGAGCUUUUGUAGGAGUUUCUCGUGACUUGGCAACUCGAUCUUGGUCCGCGCGCGCCUCCGUACCAGUAAACAUCUUACUUGUUUAAUUUAAUUUUUUAAUCUUUAGGAGCAUUACAUGUAAAAUUCGGCCCAAAACAGCCCAUAUAAGUGCAUGGCCGAAUUUACCUUGUUAUUUUAUUAAAUAGGUUUAAUUUUUUAUUAGUUACUUGUGAGAUUAGGAUUUGUUGGAGGCCUAUAUAAGCAUUGGCCAGCCACCCUUUGUAAACACAUCUUAUUAUUAUUUUUCUAUCAAAUUUUAGAUUUGUUGAGUGCAGAAUUUUCUUUCGGGUUUUCUCCAAGAAUUCUCUCUUGAGUUUUCUUUAGAAGUUGUUUUAACAAUCUUUGGAUUGUGGGAACCAUCUUCAACCUUCUUCUUGCCAUCGAUAUUCGUUGGAGGGGAGAUUAGAGCCGUUUGAAGAGAUUUGUGAAAUCUUUCGGGAUUUCAAGGAUCUUUAGGACUUCAAUUUACUUUCUUACUGUUCAUUCUUUUCUUUUAAAUUCUGUUUAUGCCGAUUCUUUUGAUCUAACUUGUUUGUUCUUCUUGUGAAUUUCCAGCCAUCUUUAUUACUCAAAAAGAUCGAUCGGUACUCAUUCUUGGUAGCCAAAUUCGACUAAACUUAUCUUUUCCAAUUAAUCUUGUCGAAUUCUUCUUGUCAAAACUGACUGUUUUAGGUUGCUGGAAUUUUGGGAAAAAUCAAGUUGCUGGAAUUUGGGGCUUUAUUCAUCGGUUUAGUUCUUGGACAGAUUCGGCUUGUUGAAAAUCAAUCUUGGAGAUCGAUUUCGUGUUUUUGCAUUCCGAAAACAUCUAUUCAUAAGAUCUUUGAUUCUUGGCUGUUCUUGAUUGUUUUGGGGAUCUUAAUUUCCAGAUCUGAUUUGUUUUUAAUCUUAUUCUUUGUUUUGAUUUCAGAUCUGUUCGAUUAGAGCUUUUGUAGGAGUUUCUCGUGACUUGGCAACUCGAUCUUGGUCCGCGCGCAACCCCCAUAUCAUUUUGUUUUUGAAAUCUCAUUUUCAUAUUUUUCUUUUUCAAUUUUCUUUUCUUCAUUUUCUUUUUCUCUCACUUUUUCGUUUUCUUUUUUGUUUUCUUUUUCUUCUUCACUUUCUUUUUCAAAUUCAUUACAAUGUGUGGAUGACACAAAAGAAUCAAAAAGAUAACCAUUUGACUCAAAGAAAGAGAAAAUAUUUUCGUAGGCUUUUUGUCCAUUUCUUCGAGUACAAUCUUUUGGUAAGGCCUUCUUCGAAGUGUAUGAGGAAUAACUUGUCCUUUCUCGUUCGUCAUAUCGAAAAGUCACAUGCUCAAGGCUAUCACGCCUUGUAUUCCUUGACGAAUAGGAAUCCCGAUAAGAAUCUCUUAGCGAGUAGUCUUGGGACACGUAUUGCCAUGAUGAUCUCAACUCUGUUUCUUAACUUGGUGGAUUUUGUUUCCGUCGGGCCUUUGCCUCCACUCGAUCUAAACGUCUUUUUAAUGGACUUAGUUUUUCCUCCAACAUUCGGCCCAUCUCGUUCACCAAAUAUUGAAAUUCAUCAACGGAGAAUUCUUCUUGAGACAUGAUUAUUAACUGAAAGAAGAAAUGUUAAAAGAAUAAUAUCAGAGAAUUAGAUACCUCACCACAAAAUCUCGCAAGUCACUCAAAAAGAAAAUUUCACUCCACUCGGGUUUACACUCGCUUUGACUUUUCUUCUCUCAAAUGGUCUCACCAAUCGUUCUUGCCUUUUACCACUCUAGUUCGCGUCUCUAAGUUCUCAAUGGACUUCCUUAGACGAAUCAGCAAUCUGGGUGGAGUCAGCUUCAAUACUUAAUGUAAGGGUGGGAGUAGAUGUUGGGGCAAAAGGUAGGCUAGAAAACAAUUUUGGAGUGGUUUAAAGUGUAGUCGAAUGGUUAAGUAGUGAAUGAUAGUAGAAAAGAGUUUGUGGGUCGAAACUACAAGGAUGGUACAAACUUUUGUCACUUCACAGAACUUUAAAAUUCAAUUGGCAAGAACUGACCAUUUUUUUUUCAAUUCGAAUUUUUUUUAAGUCACCAAAAUGCCAAAUACAAAUAGAGAACUUCCAUCCACGAAUUUUUUUUACUUUUUUUUAUUUUUUCGAUUUUUUUUAAAUUUUUUUAAUCACUUUCUCCGGCAACUUCACAAACGUCCGUACUCCUCAAUUUUUGCUAGCUCUGAUACCAAAUGAUGCGACCCCGGCCUCGGUGAUGAGAGUCGAGUCGUUGAUGUGCCCGAUCGUUAAAAUUAAGGAGUAUGAUAGGUUUUCAAGUCGGGUUGAAAAGAACAAAUUGGCUGGAAACAAGAAAAUAUUUAAGUGAUUAAAGGAUGGAUAGGGUAGGUUCGAUUUCAAGGCUGAAGAAAGAACCGAUAUUAUAUGCAAUAUCGACCCAAAUAUUAUGUUAGCUUGAAAUGAUGAAAAACUGUUAAUCGUGACCCAAUAUCUAUGAGAGAUAAGAACCAACGAUAUAGGAUUGAACGCCACACUUUAGUAAAGUGAUAAGUUCGAAAUUGACAGGAUUAACGCCACAAGAAUGUCUUGAUAAGUCAAUGGAGUCAAGAGAGAACAAAGGGAGUUGAAAUACUCACCAAUUGAACAAAAGUUCAUAAUUGAUCAAAGUCUCAAAAUUAGUAACCUUCAAAUGAUUACAAAAACAAUAAUUUAUAGGCUGAAUAUGUUCCAGCCGAAUGAACUCAAAGCAAUCAGCUUAAUUACACUUAAUUGAACUCAAAUGGCUGUUGAAAUAACCAAAAAGUCAUUUGGAAACUUCUAUGCAUAGGUGACAUCAAUGGGCAGGUUGUUUAGUCUUCCAAUUCAGCUAAUAAUUGCACUAAUGAGCUGAAAUGAUUUUGUUCAAUGUUUGAUUAGCUGAAAACAUUAUGAGCAGCCUUUAAUUCCUCCUUGGGUAGCUAAAUAAGCAUCAGCCAAAUUAAUGGUAGUUUAAGCACACGAACAGCCCAAGUGUGUGAACACUUGAUGUCCAACAGCCUCCAAGUGUGGAUGAACGAAAAUGAAUAGCUCUUAUGGUGUGAAAAUGUUUUUGUGAGAUGAAUGGCCUUGUGUGAACAACUCUUUGUCCAUUGCUCUUCACGAACAGCCACUUGGAGAAGCUAAAAACUAUUGCUGGAUUUUUAAUUCAGCUCAUGGUCCAUUGAGCUUCACGAAUAGUCACAUGAAGAAAAGGAAUCAUCAACUCUCUUCAUAGCCAAUUCAUGCAUGUACCUGAAAGCAAUUUAAUUCAUAAAUUUAAUUCAUAUUAGGACACAUUUAAAUUGACAGCAACAAGACACAUUAAAUCUGCUCAUUAAUUCAGCUGGACUAAGACACAUUAAAAUGAUGUAAUAAGCUGAAUAAAUUCAUGUCAUGUGCUAACUAAGACAUAUUAAAAACAUGUAAUUAAUUUUCUUAAUCUAAGACACAUUAAAACAAAUAAUAACUUAGACACAAAUUUAAUUCAACCGCAGCUAAGACAAAUUAAUUAGAAUAUGAAAUUAAUUUGUCUCAACUUUAGACACAAUUUAAACACUUCUAAUUAAAAAGUCCAGAAUUAAAAUGCAAUUUAAUUAUUUAAGCUGAAUAAACUAAUUUGCAUUUAUUUUAUUCCAGCAACUAAAAUUAUAAAAUGCAAAGUAAGCUCAAACAAGCAAAUGAGCUCAAUGAGCUGGAAAUGAGUUGAAUUGAGCUCAACGAGCUGAGAUUAGGCUUCAUUUUGCACUUCGGCCCCUCAAGCUUAGGCCACCCUCGAUGACAUCGAGUUGGGUUGAAACAUGAUGCGACCAGGUUGAUACGAGUCACAAAAGCCCAAAUUCUUGAAGGCGAGGCCCAAUAAGCAAAUUCCCAGCCCAAUCAAGAAAUCCAUCCAUACUUAGUUGAAAAUCAGGCCAAAUUGUCAAAGUGGCCCAAGUUGUAAAGUUUUAUUUUUAUUUUUAUUUAUUUAUUUAUUUACUUACUUAGUUUAAAUUUUUAUGUCAAUAUUCAGUCCAAGAGUCCCAGAUAAAAUGACCUUUGACCAAAUUUCCAUAUUAAAAUAAUUAGAAGUUUUUUUUUAUUUUAGUUUUCUAAUUAGAUUAGGACUAGUUAUAAGGCCUAUUUAAAGGCAUGGCUGUCCACCUUGUUAAACACUUAUCAUUAUUAUUAAAAUUUCAGAUUUGUUGAGUGCAGAAUUUUCUUUGAGUUUUCUCCAAGAUUUCUCUCUUGAGUUUUCUUUAGAAGUUAUUUUAACAAUCUUUUUUAUUGUGGGAGCCAUCUUCAACCUUCUUCUUGCCAUUGAUAUUCUUUGGAGGGGAGAUUAGAGCCGUUUGAAGGGAGUUGUGAGAUCUUUCGAGAUUUCAAGGCUUCUUAGGACUUAUCUUUUAAUUUCUUACUGUCAAUUCUUUCUUUAUUUCUACUUGUGCUGAAUCAUUAUCUAAUCUAUUUUCUGCUCUUAUUGUGUUUUCAGCCUUUUUCUAUCUUAAGGAAUCAGCCCAAAAAUCCCCAAUUUCUAGGGUUUUUCCAUACUCUUUUUGGGUGAAAUUAGAUUGUCGAAAUUUGGGGAAAACUAUCUUGGUGUUCAAUUGGGCAGAAUCACAAUCUCCUUGAGGGUUUCAAGAACCCUAACACUUAUUUCUAUUCUCAAUUUGAUUCUUUGCUGAUUUGGGGAUUUUAUUUCAAAUCUAAAAAUUCAAAAAUCUAAUCUUUUAAUUUUCUGUUUCGUUUCAGAUCUAAUUGUUUAGGGUUUUCGUAGGAGUUUCUCGUGACUUGGCAACUCGAUCUUGGUCCGCGCGCAACCCCGUAUCAGGUAGGUUGAACAAAGAAGAAAAUUGGUUUAAAGUGUGGCGUUGGGAUGGGUAAAUAAUGGUAGGAAGGGAAACUUGAUGAUCAGAGUAAUAAGUGAUAAUGAAAAAAACUCGCAAGACUUUUCACUUUUUUUUCUUUCUUCUUUUUUUUUAACUCGAUUUUUUUUGUAACUUCUUUUUUUUUGAAUUUUUUUCCGAAUUUCUUCUCUUUUUUUUAAAUCCAAUACAAUAGUAAACUAAAUACAAGGAAGAAAAAAAUUAAAUUAAAUUCCAACUCAAAAUUUUUUUUGAUUUUUUUGACUUUUUUUUACGUUACGAACCUACUCCGAGCUUGAUACGAAUGUCGGCACUCCUUGUUUUAGUAGCUAUGAUACCAAAUGAUGUGAUCUGACUCGGUUGAUGGAGUCGAGUUCACUUAAGUUGCCCGAUCAUCGACGAGAAGUAUUGGUUGAUGUCGAAUGGAGAUAACUUUAUGGAGUUGUUUUAAGUGGAAGUAAUUAAAAGGGUUCAAAAAUGACUUGGUUUGGAGAAUGGAUAGGUUCGGUUUAACAAAGAAAAUAAAGUUUAAGUAGAUAGAUAAAAUGGAAUGGAAAUUGAACUCAAGCGAAGAACGAUUCAAUACUAUGUAAAGUAUUGCCCCGAGACUUAUAUUGCUUAAGGUGGGUUUAAUGGAAGUCGAAGAUGGACCUUGACCCGUUACCUAUAGAGAGGUAGGAACCAAAGGUAUAAAAAGGUGGAUGAACUGAUGCGAUCCCGGUCGCAUCAUGUUACGACACAACUCGACGCUACCGAGAUUGGUCCAAACUCGAGGGGCCCAAGUGCAAAAUGAAGUUUUUAAUUUUAGUUUGUCAAUUUGGCUGCUGGAAAAUAAGGACUAUGAUUCAUUAAUUUUUAGUUAUUUUAGUUUGUGUUUUUAAUUAUGUCAUAGUUUGCACAUCAUUAAUAUGUGUUCUGCAUUUAAUAAAGUCAUGCAUUAUUAACUUUCAUGUUAGUUAAGUUUGCAUCAUUAAAUUAAGUCAAGUUAGUUUAAUUAUGUAACUUUCAUGUUAGUUAAAUUUGCAUUUCAAAACCAUGCAUUUAAGCAUCUUAGUUUAAUAAAUGAGUUGCUGGACAUUUAUUCAACUCAUCUUAGUUUUAAUUAAUAAGUGUUUUUUUGCUGAACUUUAUUUAAUAAGUGUUGUUCUUAAUUGAUCUAGUUCCUAGGAUUAUUUAUUGAUGCAUAAAUUAAGUUUUUUAAAUUAUUCUUCUUUAAUUAAACUAGUUGCUGGAAUAAUUAUUGUAUAUAUGUUUUAGUUCAUUUAUUUAAGUAAGUUUAAUGUUUGUUAUGAUUAAUAAGUGUUUUCAUUUGUUUAAUAAACUCAUUUUAAUGUGUUUAUUGCAGGUGACUUUUUAGCUUAUAGUGGUUACAAUUCAAGGCUGUUACACAUUUAAUUAAGUGGCUGUUCAAGUUCUUUUGAGUUACAAUUAAAGGGGCUGUUAAAAAAGGAGCUUAAAGAUCAUUAAAAGGAGUUUUUAAAGAGCAUUUUAUGCCCUUUAAAAUUCAGCAGCAACUCUUCCACUUCCAGCCAUUUUUGGAGCUUUCAAGAGAAAUUAUUCAAGCCUUUGAAUGUCAUUAAGGAGCUGGUUAAGAGAUGGUGUCUAUUCAACUAGCCAAGGACAACUCAAGAGUCAUUUUCUAAGCCAUUAAAGACAUUCAAAUCAGCUGAAUUAAAGUGAUUUUAUGGAAGGAGUUAUUUGGUUCAAAGAAUAAGAAAAGACAUCAAGUUUUUUAUGGCACAUUAAGUGGAUGUUUUUGACCAUUCGGUUACCUUGUUUUAGCAUUAUAAAUAGAUGUAAUCAGCCAUAGAGAGAGGAACUUUUUUGCUGAAUAUAGAUGUUAUAUUUGAAUUGUGAGCUAUCCAAUUCUCUUUGUUCUUACGGAAUUGAUUUGACUUAUCAAGCAUAGCUUGUGGCGUCCAUCUUUUCUUUGUUUACCGAACUUAUCACCUUUGGUGUGACGUUCAAUAUACCUUUGGUUCCUAUCAUAGUUGAUAGUGGGUCAAGGUUCCUUUCCUGUUUCCUUUAACCAAUUUGAUACAUCACGUGACGAGUUUGUAUCAAAUUGGUAUCAGAGCUAGCGAAUGAUACGACCUCGGUUUAGUAGUCGAACCCGAGUCGUUUAGUUCCCGAUCGUAAACGAAGAAGUAUAUUAGACAAGAAGAAGAUAGAAUAUAUUUGAGUUCAAAGAAGUAAAGUAAGUCCGUGCAAAGUUGGAUAUGGAUUUGGUUUAAGUAGAAAUGGUAUGACUAGAAUGGUCGAGUUCGGUUUAGGAUUAAUUAAGAAAUGGUAUUUGGUUUUGGUACGUUUUGGUAUUUGGGAAUUGGUACGAAAUGGUAAGGGAUUUGGUACGAAAUGGUAAUGGUUCAAAAAGGUCAAGAGUGAACCAACACUAAAGAAAAGUGUCGACCCGAAACUUAUAGGACCAAAUUGAGUUGGAAAUGGUUGAUAAGGACCUUGACCCGAUACUUAGUAAAGUAUGAACCAAAGGUAUCAAAGGUGAACGCCACACUCGGGUUUAGGGAGUGAUAAGUUCGAAAGAAAGACUCGGAAAGACGCCACUAGAAGCUAGAUAAGUCUUACGGGUCCCGAACGAAAUUUGAGAGAAAAUGCCUCACAAAUUUGGCAGCAAUUCGUUACUUAAAAAUGUCAAAAGUCCUUUACAAAGUAAAAUUUCAGCUAUUUAUAAGCAACACCUAAGCUAGCCGAAUGGUCACUUACAUUCCUUAAAAAUUAAGCAAAUGAAUCACUUAAAUGAACUAGCUAGAUUCGGCUGAACAUGGAGCUCCAUUAGACACCUUCUAGAUGAAGCAUUGGACUUGGAAAAACUUGGAUGAUGCAUGGAUAGCUAGGUUCGGCCAAUGGGCAUAAAUUAGCUCAUUUAUGUUGCAACUUUUGGCUGAAAAGUGACCAGCAAUUAAGAGGGUAAUGAGCAGCCAAUUCAAGUGUGAAAGCUCAACAUUGAAGAGUCAUGGAGUGUGAACACAUGGAACCGAAAAGCCAAUAUCCAUCCAGCAAAUGUGAAAGGAUUAAUUGACAGCUUUGGAGUUGGAAACAUUAGCUCUCUUGACUGAAUAGUCACCUAGGAAUGCCAAAUUCAGCUCACCAAUUUGAUGCAUGUAUCUCCAGGUUCAUUGAAUCUAUUGUGCAUGCACCAAGCUUAAAUGCUCCAUCCACAUUCGGCCAACCUACAUAAAACAUGAAUGAGCUCAAAUUGAUGUAAUAUUGGCUGAACAUAAUUAAAAUAAAACUUUGACAAGUUAAUCAUAUUAAUUCGGCACUAAAAAUUUGCACAUAUAAUUUAGUUUGGACAAAACACAUUAAAACAUGUAAUAAAAUUUGACUCAUUAAAAAUGCAUAAAACAUAUUAAUAAGCUGUAAAAAUUAAGACAAACUAAUGACAUGUAAAAAUAACUCAAUUAAGAUGCAAAAUUAAAUUUCUCCAGAUUUUAAAUUAUGCAAACAACUAAAAUUAAUUGAGCUGUAAUAAACUAAUUAAAUUGACUCAAAAUAAUUAUUCAGCUACUCAAUUAAUGUCCAAUUGAUAUUGAGCUGAAUCGUAAGUAUUUGAGCUGAAAUUGAGCUGAUUCGAGCUCAUUGAGCUUGAAAGGAGCUGGAAACGAGCUAAAUGAAGCUCCACAAAAUAAGAUUGAGCUACGUCCAGCUUGCAAACACGACGAGCCUCGCUUGUAGGCUGAAACAAUAGCUGUUCCCGGGGGCGGGUCGUAUCAGCGAAUUUGGAGUAAGAAUCGACAUUGUCGGCAAUACGGUAUAGUAGUUUCUUCAAAAAAAAAUUUCGAAAAAAAAAUUCAAAAAAAAAAAUUGGUUUCCAUUCAAACUCAAGAGAUUGGAUAUCAAGUUGAAAAAAAAAAUUCGUGAAAAAAAAAUUCGUGAAAAAAAAAUUUCGUGAAAAAAAAGAAGCUAGUUUUGAAAUUUUGUUGUUGUUUGCUGCCCAAAUUAUAGUUAUUACUACCUUCUACUAUUUCGCCACAUCCAAUCUUUCAUUUCUUGAUUCAAGCUUACUUUCCUUUGUCCUACAAUAUUCUUACCAAGCCCAAACAUCAAGGUUGUAAGCCGACCCACAACAACUGCUUUUUAAGUUUAAAUAAUUCCUAAGAACUUAGAGAGGAGGAGUGAGUGGAAAGAGGCAAGAGAGUGGUGAGUUUAUUCGAGAGUAUAAAAGUCAAGUGUGUGAGAUUUCUUUGUGAGUGGAUAGUGAGAUUCUUUGUUGUGAGUUCUUAAAAAAAUGUCACGAAGUCUGGAAAAAGAUUUAGACAAGGGAGUUGGAUUCCGUCCUGUAAGAAUUGUUGGAGGAAGUGUGCCAGAUUUUACACUCCAAGCCUUUACGCAUGAAAUGGAGCAUCUAUUUGAUCGAAAACUCAAACCCAUCAAGAAACGAUUGGAUCGUGUCGAAGAGCGGAGUCAUCGAGCAAGAACCCAACGGGAGCAAAUUUAUCCAAAUGAAAGGACGGAAAUGAGAUCAUCAAGGAGACGAACAUUCGACGAAUAUGUGAAAAGAGACCCUUAUCCAGAUUCCUAUUCUUCAAGGAAUUUAGGCCGAAAUAAAUCCAGCUACAAGUUUGAAGCUUAUCAAGGUAACGAACGAGAAAGCACAAGUCAUUCUUCGUAUGCAACAAAGUAUUCAUCUACAGAAAAAUCCUUACGAAGAAGUGAAUGUGUCUCGUAUAAGAACUCAUCCAUGGAGGUUUAUUCACGAAGAGUUGAUCGUGACUCUUAUGAAGAUUCUUCCACUUCUUUCCAACGAAAAGUCUAUUGUCCUGAUUCUUUUGUAUUAUCGCCAUUUUGUAAUAAAGUUCAGAGAAGAAAAAGAGUGACGAGAGAAAAAGAAACUGAAAAAGAAACAAAAAUUGAAAAAGAGAAAAAGAUUGGAGAAAGAAAAGAAAGAGUGCGAGAAACAAGUGUUGUUGAAAAUGAAAGAGAAUUGAUGAGUGAAAGUGAGUUUUCAACAAACAAAGAGAUUGUGGGAAAAGAACGAGAAGUUGAAAAAGAAACGAGUGGAAAAGAUGAAAGUCAACAAGAAAAAGCGAGGAAUGUUUUUACUAACCAAUCUGCAAGUUGUCCUCGUAUUGUUUCUUCUUUCCAGGUUUCUAGAGAUUCAAAUGACAAGUUUCAACUUCAUUACCUUCUUGAUGAGAGACGAUUCCAUUUGAUCGAAAAAGGUAAGGUUCAAGCGCUUAAAGGUAAGCAAGGUAAGGAGUUUUUAGUCAAUGAAUCAUGGCAAUCAGGUUUGAAAGUUGUUGAUAAAAUCUCCGAUAACUUAGUUUUAAAAACAUCUCAUUAUUUUGAUUUGGUUAAUUGUUACUCGCUAUUUGUGGUUGAUAAAUUUGUUUUAAGUGGAGGCAUGAAGAGUUGUUCAUCAAUAAGUUUUGUGUUGAAAAAUCUUUUGAUGUUGUUCGAUUAAAUCCACAAAUACAAAAUCUGAUCAUGUUUGAUAAAGAGCUUUCAUGUGAAACGCUCAAUCUGUUUGAUCGUGAUGGUAAUGAAAAUUUUUUAACUCUUAGCGUGAGAUCUUCGUAUAUUUGCAUGAGAUUUGAGAGAUUUGAUUGUUUGAAUUUAUUUUUGCCUACAUCUUCUUUAUUUGGCAUGUGUGAUGUCUUGGUGAAAGUGAAGUUUUUGUUACGUUACGGAAUGACCGAUCAAAACCAUGUUUUUAAACCCGGAGCCUGUAUUCCUAAGUUGACGUCAAGCGAAGGUGAGUAUCAAAAUUGUAUUUUGAAUCAAUGUGUUGACCCCUUCUAUUUGCUUCAACUUUUAUCUUUAUUUAGUUCGAAAACCAAACAUGUUAAUUUCAUUGGCUUGCCAAGUCAAAAUCAAAUUUUUGAUUCUGGAGGUUGUUGUAUAUUGUUGCUUAAUGGAUUCAAACAUGUGUUGCAUGAUUUUAAUUUUAAUGUGCUUCAAGUUCUUCAUAAGUUACUAGCCACAAAUUUUUCUGGUCAAAUUGAAAUGGUGAACAAAAACUGUCUUUGAUCCCGGUGAAUGCUGUUCCAUAUCAUUGUUCAAGGGAUUUGGACCAUGGAAUUCUAAUUUUCAAAACUAUAAUCUUCAAAUACCUUGUGAAUCAGGUUUGUUUCCAUCGAAGAAAAAGGUAAAACCAAUUUCUAUUUUUGAUCCCAGUAUUGAUUCAUGUGUUGUUCUUUUGAGUUUAUUUGUUCAAGUUGUGACUAAAAUCCCAGAAAGUUCUUUUGUGUUUAACCUUCAUUGUGUAACUAAUUUGUUUUAUUGUUUUGUAGGUGACGAUGUUAGGUGGUACCCUCCUAAAGAGGGAUGGCAUGCAAAUAACCUUCUUUCUAGCCGAGCCAUUUGUGGUUCUCAAAAUUUUGAAAAUAAUUCUGUCCGGAUCAUGAACAAAGGGGGUCAUGAUCUUGAAAAUUUUUUCUCGAGGAAGUGGCCCGAUUUGAGGACAAAUCGUUUUCAAGAGGGAGGGUAUGAUGCGAUCCCGGUCGCAUCAUGUUACGACACAACUCGACGCUACCGAGAUUGGUCCAAACUCGAGGGGCCCAAGUGCAAAAUGAAAUUUUUAAUUUUAGUUUGUCAAUUUGGCUGCUGGAAAAUAAGGACUAUGAUUCAUUAAUUUUUAGUUAUUUUAGUUUGUGUUUUUAAUUAUGUCAUAGUUUGCACAUCAUUAAUAUGUGUUCUGCAUUUAAUAAAGUCAUGCAUUAUGUAACUUUCAUGUUAGUUAAGUUUGCAUCAUUAAAUUAAGUCAAGUUAGUUUAAUUAUGUAACUUUCAUGUUAGUUAAAUUUGCAUUUCAAAACCAUGCAUUUAAGCAUCUUAGUUUAAUAAAUGAGUUGCUGGACAUUUAUUCAACUCAUCUUAGUUUUAAUUAAUAAGUGUUUUUUUGCUGAACUUUAUUUAAUAAGUGUUGUUCUUAAUUGAUCUAGUUCCUAGGAUUAUUUAUUGAUGCAUAAAUUAAGUUUUUUAAAUUAUUCUUCUUUAAUUAAACUAGUUGCUGGAAUAAUUAUUGUAUAUAUGUUUUAGUUCAUUUAUUUAAGUAAGUUUAAUGUUUGUUAUGAUUAAUAAGUGUUUUCAUUUGUUUAAUAAACUCAUUUUAAUGUGUUUAUUGCAGGUGACUUUUUAGCUUAUAGUGGUUACAAUUCAAGGCUGUUACACAUUUAAUUAAGUGGCUGUUCAAGUUCUUUUGAGUUACAAUUAAAGGGGCUGUUAAAAAAGGAGCUUAAAGAUCAUUAAAAGGAGUUUUUAAAGAGCAUUUUAUGCCCUUUAAAAUUCAGCAGCAACUCUUCCACUUCCAGCCAUUUUUGGAGCUUUCAAGAGAAAUUAUUCAAGCCUUUGAAUGUCAUUAAGGAGCUGGUUAAGAGAUGGUGUCUAUUCAACUAGCCAAGGACAACUCAAGAGUCAUUUUCUAAGCCAUUAAAGACAUUCAAAUCAGCUGAAUUAAAGUGAUUUUAUGGAAGGAGUUAUUUGGUUCAAAGAAUAAGAAAAGACAUCAGUUUUUUUAUGGCACAUUAAGUGGAUGUUUUUGACCAUUCGGUUACCUUGUUUUAGCAUUAUAAAUAGAUGUAAUCAGCCAUAGAGAGAGGAACUUUUUUGCUGAAUAUAGAUGUUAUAUUUGAAUUGUGAGCUAUCCAAUUCUCUUUGUUCUUACGGAAUUGAUUUGACUUAUCAAGCAUAGCUUGUGGCGUCCAUCUUUUCUUUGUUUACCGAACUUAUCACCUUUGGUGUGGCGUUCAAUAUACCUUUGGUUCCUAUCAUAGUUGAUAGUGGGUCAAGGUUCCUUUCCUGUUUCCUUUAACCGAAAAACACCUAAAGACCAUUUUGAGAUUCGGGUCAACAAUUCGUUAUUGUUGGUUCAUUUUCGGUCUUAGCCAAUUAAUUUGUUAUUGUUUCCUCUUUAUUUUGUUUAUUACCUUUGUUUGAAGCCAUUAUCUCUAUUUUGUUUCAUUUUAAAACCGAAACGAAUCCAUCCUUACUCAAUUCACGAUUGGGCAACACAUACGACUCAAAACAUCACGUGACGAGUUCGUAUCAUAAACGCCACACCAGGAUGGUGAUAAGUUCAAGGAGUCGGGUUGAUGCCACUAGCGAGCUAGAUAAGUCAGAACGAGACUCGUACGAAAUAGGAUAGGAGGAAAACUCACAAUCAAGUUUAAUAAUCAGAAUUGUCUAACCUUUUUACAAAGAGAAAUGAACUAUUUAUAGAGUUUAGAUGAUAGCUGAAUAGUCAUACUAAACAAGCUUAAAGACUAAGUAAUUCGGCUUUAAAUGUGUAAAACUAAAAUAGAAAUGUAUCCAUUAAAAGUGAUGUCCAAAUUCGGCUGUAUGGAUGUUCAAUGGCCAACUUCAUGAGUAAGGAAAUGUACUUGAGGGCUGAUGAAUGCAUGGGAUGCCAAUAGCUUUGUCUAGAUUCGGCCAAGGUGUGAAUGGACACUUCAAAAGAUGUCUUUUGGCCGAAUAGGUGCAUAGGAAAUUCAAUGGUCAGCAACCAAUGCAUGUAGGUGGAUAUUCAUGCACUCUUCCAUUCAUUGUAUUGAAUCAUUCAUGCAUCAUCUUUAAGGCAACCAUUCGUUGUAGGUAGUCAUGCAUGUACCCGAACAUACAUUGAACCAGAAAUGUUCAUGAAUCCUCAUUAAUUGUGUUCCCACAUGUGGAUGUACCUACAAAAGAUAUAAACAAAUUAGAUUCAAGGUACAUUCACCUUAAAUUAAAUAAUAUCAAGACAUAUUUAACAAAUUAAAAUAAAGACAUAAAUAAAAUAUAAUUAAUAAUAAAUUCGGCUAGCUCAAUGAUAGUCAAAAUUCUUGAUGAGCUGAAUUGAGCUAGAAAAUUCGGUUAUGAGCUGUAGUAAAAAUAAUUAAAAUAAAACUAUCACUCAAAUUAUUCAAAUAAUAAAAUUAACGAGCUGGAAAGAAGCUAAAUUGAGCUCAAAUAGGUGGAAUUGAGCUCAAGUGAGCUGAUUAAAGUCGAAUUGAGCUAAGGGAGCUGGAAUUGAGCUGAAAUUAGCUUGCACUACGGUGCAUGGUUUCUUCAAGGAGUUGGAUCGAGCUUCCCCAUCUUCAACAAGCUGAUUCUCCUUCCAAAACUUGAACAAUAAAGCUGAAAUAGCUUCAUGAAUUUGCUUGGACCUAACUCGAGUCAUUGGUCCUUUUAGGAGCUCGAGGGAAACAAGAUUCAAGCUUGGUGGUGCUUGGGACGUGGUCACAUCAGCAACUUUAAAGAAUCCACCAAAUAGCUACUCACUACAUUCGAACAACUCCCACUAUCAAUAAUAAGUGAACAUAAGUUACCUUUAAUAAAACACCAAGAAUGGAAAAUAUUGGUCCUUUGGUUAUCAUCAUCUUUCAUCUGAAUGUUAAGGGUUCGGCGAACUACAAGGCAUUGAAAAUCAGCAAAGUCCCCUUCUUUUGGUGGUUCAACCAACUCUUCACCAUUAUCACUGUCAUCCACAAGUUCUGGCAUAUCUGGAUCUAUUUUAUCAGAGUCGGAAGUGUACUCACCAUUAUCUUUCAGAAGAAGUAAUCUCGUUUUAGGGCAUUCCCCACUAUAAUGACCACGCCCUUUGCACUUAAAGCAUUCAAUCUCAUGAGUCCUCUUCACACUCGAAUCACCUAAAUUGGGCUACUUAGAAGGUGUUUGUGUUUUAACAGGAGCCUCUUUUUUCCAAUCUGAUUGCUUACUUCCAUUACUCAAAGAAGACUUAUUAGUAACAAAAGGGGAUUUUGAACUUUUAAAAUCAGAAUGGGAAUUGUUACCUCGGUAAUAUUGUGAAGUAGAGAAGGAACCAAACCUUUGUUCCUUUAAUUGUUUCUCGAUCUUAAUGGCUUUGUGAACUGCUUCUUCCAAAUCAAUGUAAGUUUGUAGCCUCAAUGUAUUAGCUAUCGGCCUGUUCAAACCAUCAAUAAAUUGUACCAUAGUUGUUUCCACAUCCUCGUCCACAUUAGCUCUCUGAACAAGCAUUUCCAUCCCCUUAAAAUAUUCAUCCACCCUCCUACUACCUUGAACAAGUCUUCUAAGCUUUGUUUUAAUCUCUCUAUAGUAGUGAGGUGGAAUAAAUCUUUAACGCAUAAUCUGUUUCAACUCAUCCCAUGUCGAAAUCUCACCUUCAUAAUUCCAAUGACGAUUUACCCCAAGUUAAGUCCACCAACUUAAUGCAUAAUCUGAAAAUUCCAGCGUUGCUAACGCUACCUUUUCAUCAUCCGGAAAUUUAUAAUAUCGAAACAUAAGUUCAAUCUUAGAUUCUCAUUCACAAUAAGCUUCUGGAUCAUUCUUACCACGAAAUUGGGGAAUUGUGAACUUUGGUUUUGCCAAAGAAGGUUGCCCACGAUCAUGAAAAUCAGAAUUAGGAGGCUUGGACGGCAAGAUCUAUUGAAGAUUAUGACUAAGGGACGUUUCUUUAAUGCCAAGAAUGGUGCCGAACAGAUUCUUGAAGAUUGGAAUGGCUGAAAAUGCAACAAGAGAAAUUAAAUCAAGUUAAUCAACUAAUCGGCAUAAACAGAAACAACUAAAGAAGAAAGAACAGUAAGAAAGAUGAAUAAAGUCCUAAGAAGCCUUGAAAUCAAGAAAGAUUUCACAACUCCCUUCAAACGGCUCGAAUCUCCCCUUUGAUGUAGAACAACAGCAAGAAGAAGUCUGAAGAUGACUCCCACAAUCAAAAAGAUUGUUAAAAAUACUUCUAAAAAACUCAAGAGAGAAUUCUUGGAGAAAACUCAAAGAGAAUUUUUCACUCAAUAAAAAAAUCUGAUUUCAAUGUGUUGUGUCCAUGGGUGGCCGGCCAAGCCAUACAUAUAUAGGCCUACUACUACUUUCCUAACCCUAUUAGGAAAACUAAGAAAAAACCUAAUUGUUUGACUUUAAAAGGGGAAUUUCGUCCAAGGCCUUUAAAUGGGCCUCUUGGUCUGAAUUUUUACAUAGAAUUUAAUUCAUAAAGUCUAAUAGAAUUUAAUUCAUAAAGUCUAAAAUGUAAACUAAGUAUUUAAAGAAUUAAAACUUUACAAAUUGGGCCACUUUGACAAUUUGGCCUGAUUUUCAACUAAGUCUAGUUUGAACUUCUUGAUUGGGCUUGGAACAUCUUAUUGGGACGUGUCUUCAAGAACUUGGGCUUAUGAUCCAUUCUCUCUCGAAAUUGGUUCGUUGAUGCUCGUAACUGAGAUCUAAUGCGCCUUAGAUGCAAGAUUCGAUUUCUUGGACCAAGAUUUCCAAGAUUUGAAAUCUUGAUUUUCUUGAUUCUCGAAAUUGCUCAAAACAGCAAAACUGGACCAAGAUUUGGUUUCUUAAUUUGCUUGAAAACAAGAAAGUGAAUCUUGAUUUUCUUUUUCCUUUGUAUACGCAUCUAAGGCCUUGCUAAUGAAGUCUUGAAUGACUCCAUUUAGUUUCAUACGUAUUUGCCUGACCUUUGACCUCGUUAUUGGGCCUUGUGGUAAUUUGAGUCCAUCACGUCCUUGAGCUUGAAUUGGGCCUUUGUGACUCGUAUAAAAAACGCAUCAGUGAGCUGAAUAAUCUGCUUGGAAAGGUGCAACAGUAGCCACCUCUUAAAUGUCAUCUACCAUGUCUGAUAGAGGGUUGCACGUGGACCAAGAUCGAGUUGUCAAGUCACAAGAAAAAGUCCUACGAAAACUAUAGACACUUGGAUCUGAAACGGAAACAGAAAAUUAACAUUAGCAGCAAAAGAUCUAUAUAGAAACACCCCAAAACAAGAAAGAUUUAGCCAAGAGUCAAAACACUUAUUAAUAGGUUUUUUUGGAAGCAAAGAAACCGAAAUUUAACUUAGAAAGACUCCCAAAAACCGAAUGUUUAUUGACGCCAAAGAAUGUUGCCAAAACAGAUUCUUGAAGAUUGGAAUGGCUGACAACGCAACAAGAACAAUCAUGCCAAGUUAAUCAACAAUUCGGCACAAAUAAAAAUAAUUAAAGAAGAAAAAACAACAAGAAAGAUAAUUAAGUCCUAAGAAUCCUUGAAAUCAAGAAAGAUUUCACAACUCCCUUCAAACGUUAUACGAGCUCGUUUUGUAUGAAAUAACGAGUCGUAAUAUUUCCCGAUCGAAAUUAGGUAGUGUCGGCCUUGAAAUAAAUUCAAGUCUUGGUGUUUAAAAUUAAAUCGCUUUGGGAAACAAGGGAGUUUGAUGGAGUGUUGUUUGCUGGAUAUUUCAAUGAAAACAAAUCGAACCCUUAUUAGCAAAUAAGGACCCGGGGCUUAAGGUUUCAAAGAUAGGAAGGAUUUGGGAUAAAACCGUGACCCUCUAUUUAGCAAAAUAGGAACCUACGGUAUGAAGAACGCCACACCAAUGGUGAUAAGUUCGAAACAAAGUCAGAUUGACGCCACUUGUUGAAGAUAAGUCAAUUUGAGCUUUGGAGAAUAAAGAGAGUGAAUUGCCUCACUAAAAUGAUAUUUCAUUCAGAGAUUUGUCAAAAGUCCUUUUACAAUAAAUUGAGCAACUAUUUAUAGUCUAAUGUCUAGUAGCCGAAUGGACAUAUUCUAGACUUAAUUUCUAAGCAAAAAUUGAACAAAAAUUCAGCUUAAAUUCAUGUAUAUGCUUGCAUCAAGGUUCAGCUGAAUAGAGACCAUGGAAGAACUUUCAAUGAACUUGGAAAAAAAAAUGGCAGCAGCUACAUUCGGCCAAUGGAGUUUAAUGAGGUCAUUCAUGAAGCAACUAUUGAUGAAAAAUUACCAGCAUUAAUUGGCAACUUGAACAGCCAUUUAGAAGUGUGAAUGGACGGUUUUGAAGAGCCUUGAAGUGUGAACAUGGCUGAACCGAAUAGACAUAGUGUGAACAGCUUUUAUACGCCCUUGGGAAGAGAAUCGGCCAAGCUUGAAAGGAUGAAAAGCUUGAUCACUCUUGGACGAAUAGUUGCCUUGAAGAACACCAAAAUUAAUCAGCUUUUAAUGCAUUAGUUCAGCUGCACAUGCAUCUUCAAAUUCUUUGAAUCUCCAUGCAUGAAUCUGUCCAAUUCAUCUCCAAAUUCGGCUGCACCUAAAAAUAAACAUGAACUUAAUUAAUUUCAAGCAAAUUCAUCUGAACUAAAUUAAAAUAUAAUGUGAACAUCCUAAAUAACAUUGAGACAACUUAAAUAUUAACAAAUCAUAACACAUAAAUUCGGCUAGACAAAUUUAAAACAUGUAAUAAUUUAGACAAACUAAAUGACAUCAAGACAUCUUUAAUUUAACUAAAUCAAGACAUAUUAAACACUUAAAUUAAUUAAGACAUAUUUAAAAGCUGUAAUGAAACUUAUUUAAAUGUUUAUUUAAAUGGUCUAAAUUCCAGUCAUCAAAUUAAUUAGCUAGAACGAAAUUCAGCUUCAAAGAAGUUGAAUAUGUUCAGCUCGUUUUUAAACUCCUUGCUAUCAUUUUCCUCAACCCGUUCCACCAUUGCUAAAAUAGCAUCUUUGAAUUGUUUAGCUCUAGCUCGCGUUAUUGGACCAAUGGGCAGCUUAAUGGCUUCUUGUUCGUUCUCCAUUUGGUUCGUAAGCAAGCUCACAUCAAAACGGCUCGAAUUUACCCUUCAAUGUAAAAUCACGGCAAGAAGAAGACUGAAGAUGGUUCCCACAAUGAUGUGAGCCAGCUCAAUUGAUGGAGUCGAUUCACUUGAUUUCUCGAUCUUCAACAAGAAGUUUCAAGCAAUAUUGGAUGGAGAUUGACUUCUGAAGUUGUUUAAGUGGAAGUAAUUAGAAUGGUUUCAAAAAUAUGGCUUUUGGAAAUGAAUAGGUUCGGUUUUAACAAAGAAAAUAGCUUGUAGGUUGAUAGAUUAAAAUGGAAUGGAAAUAUGAACCCAAGCAUCAAGAUCGAUUCAAUACUUUAUGGAGUAUUGCCCCAGGACUUAUAUUGGUCAAGGUGGGUUAAAUGGUUUAUCAAAGAUGGACCUUGACCCGUUACCUAUAGAGAGGUAAGAACCUAAGGUAUAAAAGGAUAGACAAUGCCACUCUAGAAAGGUGAUAAGUUCAAGGAGUCGGGUUGACGUCAUUAGCUAGCUAGAUAAGUUAGAACGAGACUCAAACGAAAUAAGAUAGGAGGUAACCUCACAAUCAAGUUUUGAUAAUAAAAAAUGUCUGACCUUGUUACAAAGAGAAAUAAACUAUUUAUAGAUUACAUAUGAUAGCCGAAUGGACAGAAUAGACAAACUUAAUGACUAAGUAAUUCCGUUUUAAAUGUGUCAAACUAAUCUAGAAAUGUAUCCCUUAAAAGCUAUGUCUAAAUUUGGCUGAAUAGAUCUUCAAUGGGCAGCUUCAUGGUUAAGGAAAUGAACUUGGUGGCUGGUGAAUGCAUGGGAGGCCAAUAGCCUUGUCUAGGUUCGGCCAAAGUGUGAAUGGACACUCUAAAAGAUGCCUUUUGGCUGAAUAGAUGCAUAGAAGUUCAAUGGACAGAAACUGAUGCAUGUAGGUGGAAAUUCAUGCACUCUCCCAUUCAUUGUAAUGAAAUAUUCAUGUACCAUCCUUAAGCAUCCAUUCGUUGAAGGAAGUCAUUCAUGCACCCACACGUACAUUGAAUAAAAAAUGUUCAUGAAUCUUCAUUAAUUGUAUUCCCACAUUCGACUAUACCUACAAAAGCCAUAAACAAGUUAGAUUCAAGUUACAUUCAGCUUAGAUUAAAUAAUAUCAAGACAUAUUUAACAAAUUAAAUUAAAUACAUAAAUAAAAUAUAAUUAACAAUAAAUUCGGCUAGCUCAAUGAUAGUUGAAAUUCUUGACGAGCUGAAUUGAGCUAGUCAUGAGCUGUAGUAAAAUAAUUAAAAUAAAACUAAUACUUAAUUUAUUUAAAUCUAAAUUGAGCUCAAGUGAGCUGAUUAGAGAUGAAAUGAGCUAAGGGAACUGAAAUUGAGCUAAAGUCAGCUUGCACUAAAGUGCAUGGAUUCUUCAAUGAGUUGGCUCGAGCUUCUCCAUCAUCAAGGAGUUGAUUCUCCUUCCAAAGUUUAAGAAAUAAAGCCGAAACAGCUUCUUGGAGUCGCUAGGACCUAGCUUGGGUCAUUGGUCCCUUUGGGAGCUCGAGGGAAUCAAGACGAGUACUUGGUUGAGCUUGGGGUGUGGUCACGUCAUUCCCCCUUCUUCAAACUGACUUGUCCUCAAGUCGAGCGUUUUGUUCACUAGAAAAUAUUUCUUCUUAUGUGAUUCUCUUUGGACAAAUGGGGCGAAUAGUCUUUCAUAAACCUUUGCAAAAGAACUCACAAUAUUCGACAAUAGAGAUGGCAAAUGAAUCAAUGGAAAUGGAUAGCCAUUAAUCAUCAAGAAGUUAUCAAAAUAAUCAUGCAAAUCAUGCAUAAUCACAUCAAGACAAGUAUGAGUCAAGUAAAAGGGCAGAUUUAAAACAUCAUUCUUACAAUCAAAUGAACAAAACAUCUUACAUGUCAAUAGCUCGUCAAAUGAUUGAAACAAAGACAAAUAUGCUUUUAAGCAUUCGAACAUUUCAAUUUGCUUCCACAAGUCAUUGUUUAAGUAAAUGAAAUGUGAGCAAUGAGUCAAGAAAUUUAAGCCUUCAUCACAUUUUCCAGAAACAAAAAUCUUCUUAUCAUCAACUAAAACAGUUUUAUCCUCAUCAAGCAAAAUUGAACAAUAAACCAUAGUAGGAUUGAAGCAAUUUUCAGCAUUCAAAGUGUCAACAAAAAUUUCAUCAUCAUUCCAAUAAAGGGAAAAUGGUCGAAUAACUUCAGAAAUCAUACCUUGCUCCUCAUGAAAAGUAAAAUUUUUAAAUUCAGGAAUACCUCCUUCAAUCAUUUUAAACCUUCUCUUUUCGGAAUUGUAAUGUAGUCGGGGGCGCCUUCGUUGAAUUCAUCUGGAAUGAAGAAAUAAGAAAACAAUGGUUAUUUAAUACUUCUUUCUUUUUCUCACUCACUUUUCUUUUGCUUUCUUUUCUUUUUCAAUGCACUCUUUUUCUUUUACUUGUUCCAUGGAUCACUUAAGGCGUUGUUGGUCUUCCAUGACUUGCUGUGGAGACAAGGGUAUUAACGUAACAUUUUUACCCUUAUGUUGAAACGAGUAUUGCUUAGAAAAUUCGUCAUGUUUGACUCGUCGAUCAUACUGCCAUGGCCUUCCAAGUAAAAUAUGACCCGCAUGCAUGGGUACAACAUCACAUAACACUUCAUCAUGGUAACUUCCAAUGGAGAAUGAUAUCAUUGCUUCUUAGUAACCUUUAGUUCGACCCCUUCAUUGAGCCAUUGCAAUUUGUAGGGGAUGGGAUGCUUGAUAGUCUGCAAGGCAAGCCUGUCCACCAUGUACGUGCUUGUGACAUUUGUGCAACUUCCACCAUCGUCACAAUGCUACAAACAUUUUCUUUGACAUGUCCACGUGUAUGGAACAAAUUUUCACGUUGUAGUUCAUUCGUAGAGCUUUGGGCACUAAGGCUUCUUUUGACUACUAGCAUCUCUCCUUCAACGGCAAAUGCUAUUUCAUCUUCAUUGUCGGAUAGAUUUUCAGCUUCUUCCUCAUUUUUGUCUAAUUCCUCCUCCGACUCGAUAUCACCAUUUGGCCUUAUAAUCAUUGCAUUCUGAUUUGGACAUUGACUUGCUACAUGACCUCUUCCGAGACACUUAAAACAUUUUAUAUCCCUUGAUCAAUUUUGUAAAGUAUCAACAACUUUACCUUUGCUAGAUUCGGCUAUUGGCUUGGUUGUUUUUGAUAGUGCAGUUGAUAGAGGGUUGCGCACGGACCAAGAUGAUGUGAGCUUGCCUACAAACCUAGUAGAGAAUGAACAAGAAAACAUUAAGCUACCUAUUGGUCCGAUAACGUGAGCUAGAGCUAAACGAUUCAAAGAUGCUAUUUCAGCACUUGUGGAAUGAAUUGAGGAAAAAGAAAACAAUGAGCUUAGAGAUGAGCUGAACAUUUUCAACUUCUUUGAAGUUGAAUUUCGUUCCAGCUAGUUAAUAAAUUGCUAGAAUUUUUGGACCAUUUAAAUAAGCUUUAAUUUAGUUUUACUACAGCUUAUAAAUGUGUCUUUAAUUAAUAUAAGUGUUUAAUAUGUCUUGAUUUAGUCAAAUUAAAGAUGUCUUGAUUACAUUUAGUUUGUCUAAAUUAUUACAUAUUUUAAAUCUGUCCAGCCGAAUUUAUGUGUUAUGAUUUGUUAAUAUUUAAGUUGUCUCAAUGUUAUUUUGGAUGUUCACAUUAUACUUUAAUUUAGUUCAACUGAAUUUGCUUGAAAUUAAUUAAGUUUAUGUGUGUUUUUAGGUGCAGCCGAAUUUGAAGGUGAAUUGGACAGAUUCAUGCAUGAAGAUUCAAUGGAUGUAAAGAUGCAUGCAUAUUGGGUUCAUGCACCUAACGAUACAUGCAUGGAAUGCAUUAAAAUUGGUGUGCUGAUUUUUAAGUUUUCUAUGUGUCCAUUCGGCCAAAAGAGAUGAUUGUUCAUUAUCCAAAGCUGCCAUUUAUUUCCUUCACAUUGCUAGAAAUCUUUUGGCCAUUCGGUUCAAGGUGUUCACACUUUAAGGCUCUUCAAAACCGUCCAUUCACACCUGAUAUGGCUGCUCAAGUACACUCUUUAUUAUUGGUAAUUUUUCAGCAAGAGUUGCCUCUUGAAUGCUCAUUUAAACCCAUUAGCUGAAUGUAGCUGCUACAUGCAUCUCCAAGAUCCAUUUGCUUAAGGUGGAAGCUUCAUAGUUGGUCACAAUUCAGCUGAAUCUACAUUGCCCCAUAUUCAUGAAGUUAAGCUGAAUUUUAGUUCAAUGUUUACUUAGAAAUUAAGUCUUGAACUUGCUAUUCGGCUACUAGUUGAAAGUCUAUAAAUAGUUUCUAUUUUUCUUGUAAAAGGACUUUUGACAAAUUUCUGAAUGAAAUAUCAUUUUAGUGAGUUAAUUCACUCUCUUUAUUCUCCAAAGCUCAAAUUGACUUAUCUUCAACGAGUGGCGUCAAUCUGACUUUGUUCCGAACUUAUCACCGCUGGUGUGGCAUUCUUCAUACUGUAGGUUCCUAUUUUGCUAAAUAGAGGGUCUCGGUUAUUAUCCUAAUUCCUUUUCUUUUCUUUGAAACCUUAAGCCCGGGUCUUUAUUUGCUAAUAAGGGUUCGACUUGUUUCAUCAAAAUAUCCAGCAAACAACACUCUAUCAAACUCCUUUGUUUCCCAAAGCCAUUUAAUUUUAAACACCAAGACUUGAAUUUUGUUUCAAAACCGACACUACCUAAUUUCGAUCGGGAAAUAUUACGACUCGUUAUUUCUUAAGAAACAAGCUCAUAUCACAAGAUCGAGUUGCCAAGUCACGGGAAAAUUCUACGAAAACUAUCGACACUUAGAUCUGAAACGAAAAUAGAAAUUAGAAAAUUAAACUUAAAAGACCCUGGAAACCAAAUUGAAAUAGAAUGAUACUUGGGCGACAAGAAAGGAUGAAUAAAGAACGUUUCUUGAUAUCAAAGAAUGUUGCAAAACAGAUCCUUGAAGCUUGGAAUGGCUGGAAACGCAACAAGAACAAUUAAACCAAGUUAAUCAACAAUUCGACACAAACAAAAAUAAUUAAAAAAAUAUCAAACAACAAAAAAGAUGGAUAAAGUCCUAAGAAGCCUUGAAAUCAAGAAAGAUUUCACAACUCCCUUCAAACGGCUCUAAUCUUCCCUCCAAUGUAAAAACACGGCAAGACGAAGGUUGAAGAUGGCUCCCACAAUCAAAAAUAUUCUUAAAACUACUUCUAAAGAAAACUUAAGAGAGAAUUCUUGGAGAAACUCAAAGAGAGUUUUCACUCCACAAAAAAAAUCUGAAUUCAAUAUAUCAUGUAUAAGGGUGGCCGGCCAAGCCAUAUAGGCCUCCUAACUACUUUCCCAUCCCUACUAGGAAAACUAAAAAAAAACCCUAAUUGUUGCCUUUCAAGGGAAUUUCGUCCAAGGCCUUUAAAUGGGCCCCUUGGACUGAAUUCUUACAUAGAAAUUUAUUCAUAAAGUCUAAAAUUAAAACUAAGUAUUUAAAGAAUUAAAAUUAUACAAAUUGGACCACUUUGACAAUUUGGCCUGAUUUUCAACUAAGUCUAAUUUAAACUUCCUGUUUGGGCUUGCAACAUCUUAUUGGGUCGUAUCUUUAAGAACUUGGGCUUGCAAUCUGUUCUCUCCCGAAAUUGGUUCGUUGAUGCUCGUAACUGAGAUCCAAUGCGCCUUAGCUGCAAGAUUCAGUUUCUUGGACCAAGAUUUCCAAGAUUUGAAAUCUUGAUUUUCUUGAUUCUUGAAAUCACUCAAAAUAGAAAAAUUGGACCAAGAUUCGGUUUCUUAAUUUUCUUUUUCCUUUGUAUACGCAUCUAAGGCCCAAUUCAAGCUCAAGAACGUGAUGGGCUUAAAUUACCACAAGGCCCAAUAACGAGGUCAAAGGCCAGGUAAAUGCGUACAAAACUAAAUGGAAUCAUUCAAGACUUCAUUAGCAAGGCCUUUGAUGCAUAUACAAAGGAAAAAGAAAAUCAAGAUUCACUUUCUUGUUCUCAAGAAAAUUAAGAAAUUGAAUCUUGGUCCAAUCUUGUUGUUUUGAGUGAUUUCAAGAAUCAAGAAAAUCAAGAUUUCAAAUCUUGGAAGUCUUGGCCCAAGAAACCGAAUCUAUAGCUAAGGCACAUUGAAUCUCAGUUACGAGCAUCAACGAACCAAUUUCAGGAGAGAACGGAUUAAAAGCCCAAAUGCUUGUAGAAACGGCCCAAUAAGAUGUUCCAAGCCCAAUCAAGAAAUUUAAAUUAGACUUACUUGAAAAUCAGGUCAAAUUGUCAAACUGGCCCAAUUUGUAAAAUUUUAUUUUUUUAAUGAUAGAGGAAUGCGCACGGACCAAGAUCGAGUCGUCAAGUCACGGGAAACUCCUACGAAAGCUCUAAACGAACAGAUCUGAAAAUUAAAACAAAGAACAAGAUUAAAAGCAAAUAUAAAUUGAAUUGAAAUUCCCCAAAAAUUCAAUUAAAUGAGCAGCAAGAAACAAAAAAAUAGAAUAAGCGAAUCAAACGGAAUUGAAAGUAUGGAAAGGAUACGAAUCUGCCAAGGGAUUGAUUCGGCCAAGAAUGCCUAAUUUCCAGCAAUCAAUUGAUCCCCAAAUUGAAAGAGAGCCAAUCGGCCAAACCCUAGGAAUUGGGGAUUUUUGGGUUCGAAUGGGUGCUGCCAAUAGGAGAACAACUUAAAUGAUGAGAUCUUGAGUUUAAUCAAUGCUGGAAAACAAACAAGAACAGCAAAAUAUUAGAUGAGAAAUCGGCACAAGUAUAAGCAAAGAAAAGUAAAGAAAGAAAUCGAAAACAGCAAGAAUUAAAGGAUAAGACCUAAAGAUCCUUGAAAUCCCGAAAGAUUUCACAAAUCUCUUCAAACGGCUCUAAUCUCCCCUCCAAAGAAUAUCGAUGGCAAGAAGAAGGUUGAAGAUGGCUCCCACAAUCCAAAGAUUGUUAAAACAACUUCUAAAGAAAACUCAAGAGAGAAUUCUUGGAGAAAACCCCAAAGAAAAUUCUGCACUCAACAAAUCUAAAAUUUGAUAGAAAAAUAAUAAUAAGAUGUGUUUACAAAGGGUGGCUGGCCAAUGCUUAUAUAGGCCUCCAACAAAUCCUAAUCUCAUAAGUAACUAAUAAAAAUUAAACCUAAUUAAUAAAAUAACAAGGUAAAUUCGGCCAUGCACUUAUAUGGGCUGUUUUGGGCCGAAUUUUACAUGUAAUGCUCCUAAAGAUUAAAAAAUUAAAUUAAACAAGUAAGAUGUUUACAAAUUGGGCCCUUUGACAUUUUGGCCUGAUUUUCAACUAAGUAUGAAGAAAUUUCUUGAUUGGGCUAAAUUUUGGUUAUUGGGCCUCGCCUUCAAGAAUUUGGGCUCGUGAUCCAUCUCCUACCAAAAUUGGGUCGUUGACGCUCGUAAUGGAGAUCCAAUACGUUUUGGCUGCAAGAUUUGGUUUCUUGGACCAAGAUUUCCAAGAUUUGAAAUCUUGAUUUUCUUGAUUCUUGAAAUCUCUUCGAACAGCAAAAUUGGGCCAAGAUUCAGUUUCUUGAUUUUCUUGAAAACAAGAAAGUGAAUCUUGAUUUUCUUGUUCUCUCGUGUAUGCAUCUAAGGCCUUGCUAACAAGCUCUUGAAUGGUCCCAUUUAGUUUGGACCGCAUUUGUCGGACCUUUGAUCUUGUUAUUGGGCCUUGUGGCAAUUUGAGCCCAUCACGUUCUUGAACUUGGAUUGGGCCUUUAUGACUCGUAUCAUUCCCCCCUUCCUCAAAAAGAUUCGUCCUCGAAUCUGAAAAAUCAAAUGGGGAUAAGUCAGCCACAUUAAAAGUAGAACUUACAUUGUACUCACCAGGUAGAUCAAAUUUAUAGGCAUUAUCGUUGAUCCGCUCGAGUACUUGGAAAAGCCCAUCGCCCCUUGGGUCCAACUUAGUCUUCCUUUUUGUAGGAAAUCGUUCUUUCCUCAAAUGGACCCAAACCCAAUCUCCGGGAUCUAGUACAACCCGUUUGCGCCCCUUGUUUGCUUUGUUGGUGUUGGCAUCAUUUGUUUUGGCUAUUCGCUGUCUAGCCUUCUCAUGUAAGGAUUUCACCAACUCAGCUUUCUGUUCGCCAUCUAAAUUCAUAACGUGUUCAAGAGGUAAUGGCACAAGAUCAAGUACUGUUAGUGGGUUAAAACCAUAAACAAGUUCAAAUGGGGAAUAACCAGUUGUAGAAUGAAUAGAUCUAUUAUAUGCAAAUUCAACGAAUGGUAGGCAUUCUUCCCAAUUUCUAAUGUUCUUUCCCACAACAGCUCGUAAUAGAGUCCUUAAGAUUCGAUUAACUACUUCAGUUUGACCAUCAGUUUGGGGGUGACAUGUAGUAGAAUAAAGCAAUUUAGUACCAAGCUUACCCCACAAUACCUUCCAAAAGUGGCUAAGGAAUUUGACAUCUCUAUCAGAAACAAUUGUUUUAGGGAUGCCAUGAAGUCUUACCACUUCUUUAAAGAAUAAGUCAGCCACAUGUGUAGCAUCAUCUAUUUUGUGACAAGGAAUAAAAUGUGACAUCUUUAAAAACCUGUCAACAACAACAAAUAUACUAUCUCUUCCUUUUUUUGUUCGAGGCAAACCUAAAAUAAAAUCCAUGGAUAAAUCUACCCAAGGUGAAGUAGGAAUCGGUAGAGGAGUGUAAAGGCCAUGAGGCAUUACCUUAGAUUUUGCUUGUUUGCAUGUAAUGCACUUGGAACAUACCUUUUCCACAUCCUUCUUCAUAUGUGGCCAAUGGAAGUGUUCUUGCAAUAUGUCUAGUGUUUUGGCCACUCCAAAAUGUCCCAUUAAUCCCCCACUAUGGGCUUCAUGAAUCAACAAUUCUCUCAUGGAACACUUUGGUAUGCAUAAUGUAACACCCCGUACCCGAGACCGUUGCCGGAGUCAGACACGAGGGGUUCACAGACUAAAUUCGCUUACUAUCGCAGUCCAUUUUAAAAUUUUUCAGGCAGUUGGCUAACUGUGACACUGUCACCUUAAAAAUCAUAUCUUGAGUUUCACAACUCGAAAAUCAGUUUCGUAAUUUUUACCUGAAACUAGACUCAUAUAACCUUCUACAUAUUUUUUUCUAGAAUUUUUGGUCUGGCCAAUUAGUACAGUUUAUUAGUCAAAGUCUCCCAUGUUACAGGGAUCGACUACACUGACCUUUUCACAUUACGACUUGGAUAUAUCCCUGCACAGAGCUUCAAUACUGAUGCCGUUUGUUUCUAUAGAAACUAGACUCAGAGAGGAAUCUAUAAAUAUAUGGCAUGACUCCUAAUUAUCUCUGGUUAAUUUAUAAUGAAUUUCCAAAGUCGGAACAGGGAAUCCAGAAACCGUUCUGGCCCUGUCUCACGAGAACCUGAAUAUCUCUUAACAUACUGUCCAUAUGAUCAUUUCGUUACUUUUCUAUGAAAAUAGAUUCAUCAAGGUUCGUUUACAUAAUUUAUUCAUUAUUUAAUUCCAAUCCUACUAUUUUUAGUGAUUUUCCAAAUCUACAUCACUGCUGCUGCCAGCAUCUGCCUUUAAGGUAGACUUUACCUAUUUCAUAGUUUCCAUGAUUCAACUAGCCCUUUUAGCAUGAAUAGCACAAAUUAUGAUAGUGAUUAACCAUUCCAUACCAAAUGAUUAUAACAUUAUGCUCAAACAUAUAUAAGCCAUUUUCGCAUGGCUAUAUACAUUAACCAAAAUAUUCUUCCGCCACUAGUCUAUUUUAUACAUGCCAUAAGAUAAUCCAAAACAUAGCAGUACCAAACAGUGGAUAGUGAUAGUGUGACUAGUUGCUGACGAUCCCCGAGCCUGUAGCUUCGCAAUGAGAUCUAUAAAACAGAGGAAACAGAGUAAACAGAGUAAGCAUUACAAUACUUAGUAAGUUUUAAGCAGUGUCAACAGAUAACAAUCAAAUUAUAACAUAGUUGUUCGAAUUUUUAUUUCACUCUUCCUUCGGGCAUACCAUCCCUUUACCGAAUAUGCACAUCUCAUCAUAUACAAUAGGCAGAUAAACUUUCACAUAAAAGUGAGCUCAUGUGACAUAGAUAUAUCGUAUGAUUUCACAUAACCUCUCACUCUGAUCCGAUGUCACAUAAUCAUAGGAAUAGUCUCAUAGAUUGCUCUCGUAUGCGUCACAUAACUACCUUAUUAUUUAGUGCAAAUCAAGCUCACAUAUAAACUUGGAGUACAUACCUGUUUAACCUUUCGCAUUGAAUAUAUUUAUAAGCAAUUCUUAUUACGAAGUCUUACCCGGACAUAAUCUCCACACGAAGUUAUCGGGUCUUACCCGGACGAAAUCCCCACACGUAGUCAUCGGGUCUUUAGAGCUCGGAUAUAGUACGAGCACGAAGCUUACGGACAUUAAUCAGUGAUAAUAUUCUCGCAUAAAGCCUGCGGGGUUUUAACCCGGAUAUAGUACUGACACAAAUGCCCUUCGGGACUUAUCACAUUCAUCACAUCGGCCAUUAGGCCCUAUCACAUAUAUACACACUUUCACAUUCAUCACAUCGGCCAUUAGGCCCUAUCACAUAUAUAUACACUUUCACAUUCAUCACAUCGGCCAUUAGGCCUUAUCACAUAUAUACACUUUUACAUUCUCAAAGUAAGCUAUUUUAGCUUAGUUAUAAGCAAUUUAAACAAUUUAAAAGACAUUAAAAACUCAAUUUGAGUAACCAAGUGAUACGAGAUCAAAGGCCCGACAAAUGCGUUCCAAACUAAAUGGGACCAUCCAGGAGUUUGUUAGUAAGGCCUUAGAUGCGUACACAAAAGAAAGGGAAAAUCAAGAUUUCAAAUAUUGGGAAUCUUGGUCCAAGACACCAAAUCUUGCAGCCAAAGCGCAUUGGAUCUCCAUUACGAGCAUCAACGAUUCAAUUUCGGUAGGAGAUGGAUCACAAGCCCAAAUUCUUGAGGGCAAGGCCCAAUAAGAAAAUUCCCAGCCCAAUCAAGAAAUCCAUCCAUACUUAGUUGAAAAUCAGGCCAAAUUGUCAAAGUGGCCCAAGUUGUAAAGUUUUGUUUUUAUUUUUAUUUAUUUAUUUACUUAGUUUAAAUUUUUAUGUCAAUAUUCAGUCCAAGAGUCCCAGAUAAAAUGACCUUUGACCGAAUUUCCAUAUUAAAAUAAUUAGGAGUUUUUUUUAUUUUAGUUUUCUAAUUAGAUUAGGACUAGUUAUAAGGCCUAUUUAAAGGCAUGGCUGUCCACCUUGUUAAACACUUAUCAUUAUUAUUAAAAUUUCAGAUUUGUUGAGAGCAGAAUUUUCUUUGAGUUUUCUCCAAGAUUUCUCUCUUGAGUUUUCUUUAGAAGUUGUUUUAACAAUCUUGUGAUUGUGGGAGCCAUCUUCAACCUUCUUCUUGCCAUUGAUAUUCUUUGGAGGGGAGAUUAGAGCCGUUUGAAAGGAGUUGUGAGAUCUUUCGAGAUUUCAAGGCUUCUUAGGACUUAUCUUUUAAUUUCUUACUGUCAAUUCUUUCUUUAUUUCUACUUGUGCUGAAUCAUUAUCUAAUCUAUUUUCUGUUCUUAUUGUGUUUUCAGCCUUUUUCUAUCUUAAGGAAUCAGCCCAAAAAUCCCCAAUUUCUAGGGUUUUUCCAUACUCUUUUUGGGUGAAAUUAGAUUGUCAAAAUUUGGGAAAAACUAUCUUGGUGUUCAAUUGGGCAGAAUCACAAUCUCCUUGAGGGUUUCAAGAACCCUAACACUUAUUUCUAUUCUCAAUUUGAUUCUUUGCUGAUUUGGGGAUUUUAUUUCAGAUCUGGAAAUUCAAAGUUCUAAUCUUUUAAUUUUUCUGUUUCGUUUUGGAUCUGAUUGUUUAGGGUUUUCGUAGGAGUUUCCCGUGACUUGGCAACUCGAUCUUGGUCCGCGCGUAACCCCGUAUCAUUUGGUAUCAGAUUUUGGGCGUUUUGGGUGUUCUUGGUUUAUUUCUAAACUGAUCUCUAUUUUUUAAAUUACAAACAGCAGUUUUACCCAGAAAAAUUUUCGAAAAAAAUUCAUUUGAGUGGGUAAACGUUUUCUGAUUGAUCUGAAAUUUUACAUACAUAUUUUUGGCACUGUUAUUGAAUAUACAAAAAUAUUUCCCGCAAAAAAAUAAGUCGAAAAAGUCAAAAAAUUGAAAAAAGACGAAAUCCAAUAAAAAAUUAAAAAAAUAUUCAGCGGGUUGAAUUUGGUGCCCAAAUUUUCCAGAUAAAAAAUUCAAUAUUUGAAGACAUUCCAGAUUUAAUUUCGUGAUUUUUUGAGAUCGGGAACACCUCGAACGAAGUUGUCAAGUUACUCCGCAGUUUUUCGGGUUUUCUGUUUUCAGCAAUUUUUAUUGAUUCUUAGCUGUAGGUUUUCAUUUGUUUGCUUUUUAUUCUCCCUUUACAAGAUCUAACACCUUCUUGUUUUUUUGUGUUAGUAGGAUUUAAACGUGUGCCCAAUUCUUCCUCGGUGCAACACGAAUCAAUUGGUGUCUCGUCAGUUUUUGGCAUCCUAGUGCAAAUUAGGAUUCUUUGGUAGUUUGGUUCACACUCUCUAAUUGGUUGAUAUAAACUCUGAUAAAGAACUCACAAGAUUGAAUUCGACCUCAUUGAGAAUUUUUGAGUGAUUAAUGGUGAGGUUUGAUAACUUUUAUUUUUGAGUGUUGAGUGUUUAUUUUUUACAGGUUUUGAAGAUGUCUAAAGGUGAUAAUAAUGAUGCAUUUAUGAAAGUCCAAC